GACGAACGCUGGCGGCGUGCUUAACACAUGCAAGUCGAACGGAAAGGCCCUGCUUUCGUGGGGUGCUCGAGUGGCGAACGGGUGAGUAACACGUGAGUAACCUGCCCUUGACUUUGGGAUAACUUCAGGAAACUGGGGCUAAUACCGGAUAGGAGCUCCUGCUGCAUGGUGGGGGUUGGAAAGUUUCGGCGGUUGGGGAUGGACUCGCGGCUUAUCAGCUUGUUGGUGGGGUAGUGGCUUACCAAGGCUUUGACGGGUAGCCGGCCUGAGAGGGUGACCGGCCACAUUGGGACUGAGAUACGGCCCAGACUGCUACGGGAGGCAGCAGUGGGGAAUAUUGCACAAUGGGCGGAAGCCUGAUGCAGCAACGCCGCGUGCGGGAUGACGGCCUUCGGGUUGUAAGCCGCUUUCGCCUGUGACGAAGCGUGAGUGACGGUAAUGGGUAAAGAAGCACCGGCUAACUACGUG
rnacentral:rRNA from 1 species